CGCAAGCCUGACGGAGCAACGCCGCGUGAGGGAUGAAGGCCUCUGGGCUGUAAACCUCUUUUAUCAAGGAAGAAGAACUGACGGUACUUGAUGAAUAAGCCACGGCUAAUUCCGUGCCAGCAGCCGCGGUAAUACGGGAGUGGCAAGCGUUAUCCGGAAUUAUUGGGCGUAAAGCGUCCGCAGGCGGUUUUACAAGUCUGUCGUUAAAGCGUGGAGCUCAACUCCAUUUCAGCGAUGGAAACUGUAAGACUCGAGUGUGGUAGGGGCAGAGGGAAUUCCCGGUGUAGCGGUGAAAUGCGUAGAUAUCGGGAAGAACACCAGUGGCGAAGGCGCUCUGCUGGGCCAUAACUGACGCUCAUGGACGAAAGCCAGGGGAGCGAAAG
rnacentral:rRNA from 1 species